rnacentral:rRNA from 1 species
CGGAUGCGAUCAUACCAGCACUAAAGCACCGGAUCCCAUCAGAACUCCGAAGUUAAGCGUGCUUGGGCGAGAGUAGUACUAGGAUGGGUGACCUCUUGGGAAGUCCUCGUGUUGCAUCCCUC